GACAGAGGUGCCGAGCGUUAGGCGGAAUCACUGGGCUUAAAGCGUGUGUAGGUGGAUGCCUAAGUACCUUGUGAAAUCCCACGGCUUAACCGUGGAACUGCUUGGUAUACUGGGUGUCUUGAGCCAGCUAGGGGCUACCGGAACAAAUGGUGGAGCGAUGAAAUGCGUAGAUAUCAUUUGGAACGCCAAUGGUGAAAAACAGGUAGCUGGGGCUGUGCUGACACUGAGACACGAAAGCCAGGGGAGCGAACGGG
rnacentral:rRNA from 1 species